GGACUAGGAGGUUCACGUGGGACAUUCUGUUGCCAUUUGCCCACUGUGACCCUGGGCAGGCCUCUUGGAGUUAGAAGGUGCCACAUGUUGCCUUGGGCCCUUGGGACACCCCUCCUGGCUGCCUUGAAGUGCCUCUGGAAGUGUCCCUCCUCAGAAGGAAGAGCACACAGUUCUGUGUCACCUGAGGAGGCACGAGUGCAUGAACUGGUGUUACCAUGUGCAGUGACCAGAGAGGGUCCAGGUGAGUGGCCAGCUGGAUGACGCUGGGUGAGUCACCUCAUCGCAGGGCAGGAGCCAUCUGUAGAAGGGUCAUGGCGCCCUCACAGGAGGGGCAAAGGGCAAAGGUAGCUUUCAGACAAUAACCCUCACAAAUGCUAGCAAGCAAUGAUGCCACUUCAUUCAGAGCAGAAACAGGCCAGGGCGCCAGUGCCCUCCCGGGGGCCUGGGGUCCUGGAGGCAGGAGGAACACAGUCCCAAGGACAGGCUCAGUUGGAGGCUGCCAGCUUGCUCUGCAGGGAAGGCUGCACCUGGGAGGAGUGAAGGCACAAGGCAUUUUCCUACUGAGCACCUGCUAUGUGCCAGGAGCCACAUUAUCUCAAACAGAAGAUCCUGCCAGGCAGCCAUCCCCACACUCCUUCUUAAAAAGAGAGGAAAGUGAGUCAGCACGGAGUGUGAAGCAACUUGCUCCAGGUCACACAGCCUCUCUGUCUUCCUCUGAGUGCAGUGAUCCACCCCGGGGUGGAGGGGCCACCACCAGAAGGCAGGCUUAGCCGCCAUCCUGACCACCCAGUGGGGAGGGCACGAGGGUGAUCUAAAAAACCUGCUGUCCCCUGGCCACUGCCUUUCCAUUCUCACCACCUCUGCUGAUCACAGAGGCACCGUCCACCUGUCCAGCCCUGAGGUCAAGCAUUGCCCCUGGUCUGGCAUUGUUCUCUGUGAUCCCCAAACCCAGGGCUUUUCCUAGGGAUGGAAGGGGUCUCAGUCAGCUCUUGGGUGUGACAGGGAACAGAGGCUUUGGAUGAGUUUCCUGUGUAUGCCCCCACCCAGACCCAAGGCCACAUACCAGAAUCCAGUCCUGGCUGGGGCAACAGCAGUUGGGGGGCGGCAGGGCUGGUCUAAGGUUCUUCCAGGGGGAAGAACCCUGGCAUAGGGGUAUAGUGUAUGCACAAAAAGGAGCAAGACAGGCGACCCCAAAGGAAACUCAGGGAGCCUGGGUCCUGGAUAAACUCAGGCAGGGCCUGCUAGGAACUCCUGCUCUAUGGCCAGCCCACCUGCUAGUACCACUGGACAUGGGGCUGGAGUGGCUGAGGGGCAGGGAGCAUGCUCACCACGGGGAACCCACCAUCCAUCCUCUCCAGAAACAUUGACAAAGCAUUCACCAUGCUCCGGGCACAGUUCAAAGCCAUCAACUAAGCCAAGAAACCAGGUGCUACAUGUGGAAGUCCUGGUGGGCACGCCAAGCCCCUGCCAGCCCCCAGCUGGGCUCCUGCUCCUGUUUGGGGACCCACUAGCCUCGGGGAACUCGCCAGCCUUCGGUGGUCUCUGAAAUGCUCCUCUGUUGUGUUGUAGGAUUCUGAGAGCCUGUUGUUCUGUCCUGCUGGAAAAGAAAGAAAAAAGAUCUGCAGACUGUGACGUGGCCGCAGGACAGAGCCCAUUGCACUGCUCAGCUGGACGGGGGACAGGGAAGCCCUCAGGUACAGACCUCAGGGUACUUGACUCAAGAUGUCCAUUCCAGGAAGGUCUCCUUCACCAGCCCAGAAUCCAAGGACCUGAGAGGCUCUCACCUGUGGCUGCCGAUCAUCAGAGAGAGUGACAACACGGAGCAAAGAUCUUUGGAUAUCUCUCAGCCAAGCUAUAAAUAAAGACCAUUUAUCAUAAGAUUGCCGAGUGGAUACUAAGUUUUGGACACCUGAUACAUCAUCUUACUUAAGCUUCAUGAGAAACCAGCGUGGGAGAUGUCAUGGUUACCAUCUCACAGACUGGAGAUCAAGCCCAGUGAGGCUGAGGUGUCCGAGAUGGCGUGGUUUAUUAUGAUGGAGGAGGGAGUGGGAAACCUGUAUCCCGAGCUCAUCCAGUGGAUGCCCUCCUGCACCUCGUCAGUAGCCUUUAUUUGAGGCUGUAAAGCAGGCUGUACCUGGUGGGCCACCUCCUGUGUGCGUCUCUGGCCCUGGACUUCUUGCAGGACAUGCGGUCUGUCCCUAGUGAAUAUGUCAGGAAUGGACAGGUGAGUUAAGUUUCUUUUUACACAGAAACGAAAGUAACACCUCCAUCCACAUGACAGCCAGGCCACCGCGCAGUCAGUUAAAGCUAACCCUAAAUAUCUUAGAGACGAUAUCGAAAAUACACAACUGGGGCUCACCGCAGAUUUCCGACUUGGUAAUGCC
rnacentral:lncRNA from 1 species